AUACUUUUAGAAAGACAAUACCUUCCACUAGCAUCUCUUUUUAGAUCAUUCACAACUCCUUUAGAAUUAUGAGGAAUAUUAUUCUGUACUAGAUACUUUUUGAUUGUUUUAGGUGAUAUUCCUGUUUUCUUAGAAUAAGAUGAAAUACUAUUCAUUUUAAAAUCAUAUAUUUUCAGCUCUUCUAUCAAUUGUUGUACUUCCAUUUAUUUAGAAAAUUAUUUAAAAUACCUUUUUACUUUACUUUACUUUAUUACUUUACUUUUCUCUAUUAACUUACCAUAUUGCCAUACCUUAUUACAAUAUUACUUGACUUUAUUACUUCAAAUUUUUUACUGUAAUAAAUGACAGAGUUGAGACUAUCCAGAUUUAUAAAAGAUGUACAAAAACUUAAUAGAGCAUCAAAUGUAGACUUGACAGAAAUAAGUAUGUAUACGAAAAAUGAAAAUACUAGAGAAACUGCUCAGAACUAUUUAGAUGCUAUUGAAAAUAUGAUAACCAGUGUAGAAAGUUCUAAAAUAUCUGAUG
ensembl:ncRNA ZC53.12 ncRNA